CACACUGACUAGUCUAGUCUUAUCAACAUCGUGGUCAGUUAUAUUUGAGUGUUUAAAUUUCAUUUUAUUUCUAAAAAAAGUACAUAUUUAUAAAAGUAUUAAAUAAAUCGGGUAUCGUGUUAAGUUGUGAAUUUGGAAUUUAAAAUAUUUACAACAGUGCAAUGUCGGAUUCGUUAGACAUCAACGAGAUUAAGUGUAAUCUAAAAGCCAUAAUCACGUCCUGUAAAAGAGACGUGCUGUUGAACGACAUAGAAAGUAAGUAGUUAACUAUUAAAUUUCUAUUCAAAGUUCUUUAAAGUGUAAAAAUUGAUUGAUUAUUUAUUGUAAGAUUUUGUUACAUUGGUUUCCAAGGUAUAUAAUAAACACUUUAGUUAGAUAAGUCUGUAUGUAUCUGUCCAAAAAUAUUAGUCGACUUACAGGGGCGCAAAUUCAAUUUUAAUAUUGAGGGUGCUAAAGCCCUUUGGAGAAAAAAAUACCUAGUUCAUACAAUUUUUGAUUUUCCAUGCGGUUUUCAUAAUAAUUUUGAACAAACGGAUACAUUUACGUACAUCUAUAAUAUACAGGUUUAAUUUACUCCGAUUUUCUUCUCGAAUAUUUUUAGGAGUUUGUCGCCUUUCGUUAUUGUCUAAGGCUCGCAGGCAUACACAUAACAAUAGGGCGUAUAUAGACUAUUUAAAGCAAUGUUUUUUAGUAUCUCUCGAUAAUAACCUUGAUGUGAGCAGAGUUUUAUAUAUGUAUCUUUGACAUAAGUUUAUGAAUAAUAAGAAUAAUAUUACACCAAACACACCUACGAAACGACAUCUAAAAUAACCGUCCACGGAGAUCGUAUCCAAAGACAUAUCGUAAUUCUUAAACAUUCAUUUAUUUAUCGAACCAUACGCGGGGGCAUGACUAGGCAGUUUUCUGGAGGGGAUGUUUUUUUUGUCUUAUAUAUUCGCCUAUGACACAUAAAGCUAUCCAUGUAGUUAUAAGUUUUUCUAAUGUUCUAUUGUGUAAAAUUUUGAUUAAUUUAUAUGAUAAAUUAAAAUUUAUAUUAAGAUGGUUUACUAAGAUUGACAAUAGUUCAAACAAGGAAUAAUAAUUUUUUAUAAUAGUAACUUAUUACUUAUUAGUUUAGAUUUCCAUGUUGAUUGUUAGUGCUGUUCUUCAAUACUCAAGUCUAUUGUUAACUUAUUCCAAACAUUCUCAUAUCAAAGAUAUGUCUGCAAACCAUCAUGCACCAUGUAACUCCUUUAACCUCUUAUCCCAGCACACAUCUGAGAUAGGAGAGUCUGCCAAAAUCUUAUUUAUAACGCCUCAGAUUGACAGAAUUUUACAAGAUUUAAAUAUUUUGGCAGCAGUUAAUUAGUUAAAAAGAGCAGAGAUAUUAAAGGCCUAAUGGGUAAUAAUGAAGUAUUUAUAGAUAUUUCAGAAGAAGUAAACAUAUUUUCCAAAGAACAUUUUGGCAAGUGAAAAGACGAAUACACAUUAUUUAAAUCAGUUUUAAAAAAUAUAGAUAAGGAAAAUUCAAAAAAAUUAUGAGAUAAAUUACAAAUACUCUCCUCCGUGUGAAGCGUACUCAUUGUGAAUCUUUAAGAAUAAGUUUGUAAGCAUGAGGGAAAAAAGAUGACCAAUGCAUAAAUGGUUGAAUUGAAUAAUAGAGUUAUAUACAAUAAUUAAAAUAAGUCUAAAAUUAUCUACAUCUAGCCUACAACAAAUAUAUGCUUUUGGAAAUGGUGGAGUUAUUGAAUCCAAAUUGCAUGUUUAAAAUUGUUGAAAUAUAUACUUGGUAGGUUGAAGUUCACAACAUAAAGUAAGAAAGCAACGUCAAUUUAAUACCAUUAAGAGAAAAUCAAUUUGCAUGUUGUAGAGGUUGAGUAGGAAAUUACAAAAUUGGUGUUUCAAUUAAUUUUAUAAUAUUGACACUGAAUCGAAGUCGAAAGAUCAAAAGGAAGUGAGUGCUGCGUGAAGUUUACAUAUUAGUUAUUUUUUUUUAAUAAUGUCAUUGAUUUUUUUAUCGUUUAUUCAACAUUUGAAUUAAAUUAUUUUUAAUUAUUAUUAUUAAUUGUAUGAACAACUCAAAAAUAAUUUAAAUUAUUAAUAAAUAAUAAAAAAAAAAUUACUACCAUCAGAAAAUCGGAUUUUCCGGAGAAUGGGUGAAGUUGCAAAUUUCAAAAUUAACGUUGCAAAUUAUUGCAAAUCAGUUGCAAAAUAUUGGCACUGGUUUGAAGUUGAUGACGGGGGUGCCAACUUCACGGACGUGAAUAUUAAUUAUUAAUUAAAUUAAUAAAAAUUAUAAUUCCAAGUUGCAUUUAUUGUGGAAGAACCACAUUAAUAAAUAACACGAAUUAUGAUAAAAAAAAAUAUAUCUUAAUUCGUGAUAAAUGGAUUGCGCUUUCCUCACCUCGUUUAUGGUGUUCGUGAGGUAACGCGUAAUAGUAAAUCUAAAGAAAAAAUAUUAUGUUUCAUAGGUAAGUAUAAAUGUAACUUUUUUUUGUUAAAUUAUCAUAAAUUUACUAAAAUAUAUUCAACAAAUACUUUGUACCUUGAUAUGUUAAUGUUAUUUUCUAAAAGACAAAAUUAAACAAUAGUUUUGUUCCUUAUUAUCUGGUCACAUUGGAAGUAGACUUUUUUCGCUUCCAUUGAAAAUCGAACGGCAUAUAUAUAUUACUUAGUUCAUAUUAAUUCAGUUGAAUUAAGAAAUUCGUAGGUACAAACCUGAAUAAAUUUCCCCUUGAAAAUAAAACUGGUGUGAAUUUGAGAAAUUUUUCGUUGUAACCGGUGUCAAAAUUAACGGUUCAAUUAUUCUGCUCCAUCGUAUGCAUAUAGUGCAAACUAUUUAUACCGGUUUCAUCCCCUUUCAUUUCCCCCUCGAAAUAAUAAACGAACAGAUUAAUGAUCUGUACCAGAUAAAUAAUAAUAAUAACAAUUUAUACCUAUUUAAAUUUAUUUUUAUUUAGCACUUAUCAUCAGGAAAUGGGAAGUAUAGUAUAGGUAAUAUACUAAUAAUUUAAAUUGAUUAAUAUUUAAUUGAGAGUAUAAUCAUUAUUAAUUUUGGAUUAAUUUCCAUCGUCGAAUAUCUAUAAUGGUGUACAAUAAUCAGUAUUAAGUGUUUGUAAACCGGUACAAAAUGUAUCGUUACACCGGUUUGCACUAAUGAAUUUCUAGAUAGUGUUAUCUAAAAAGUAAAAUAAUUACAUACACAAUAUAUAUUUUCUUAAUACUGUACCUAUUUUCCUGGUUUUUCCAAUUUAUUGGAAAACUCCUGAGAUUAUUAAAAAUUUACCUCCUAUUUCACUUGUCCUUAAGUAUUUUUAUUACAAACACUUUAUCAAUCAAAUAUAAAUAAGAUAAUCACAUUCAUUAAUUACAGAUUAAAACUACAACUAAUUUAAAUUGGACUCUACCACUGUGUCCCAUGCACAGUUAUAUAUAAACACUUUAUAAUAAAAUAUAUCCCAUCAUUAAUCAAUGUGACCUACAUGCAUAUUUUUUCCCCUAUAAAUUAUAUAAUUUUAUUAUAAUUAUAUUCAGUGGUUUUCCCAUCCAAGUGUUUUGAAAGUAUACUUACGUGCAUUACAUGGGAUAUUUUAUACUUUUAUUAAAGUUUAUAGUGUUUAUAGGGAAAAAGAUAUCAAUUAUACAAAAGUUAAAUUAAAAUUAAUAUAACAAAACACAAACUUUUUUUUAAAUGUAUUAAAAAUCAUAAGAAAAUUAUGAACUUUUAGUUUUAAUUAUUGAAAUAAAUACAAAUUAAUUAUUACUUUGGUUUUAAUGGAACACCACUGGUUAUAUUAAAUAAUAUAAAGUUGAUACUAAAAUGUUAUUUCUGUAAAUACUUUAUUUAAAACAAUUAUUUACCAUUUUAGAUGAUUAUGUUAAGAUAAUUGGUGAACCUCUACCAUAUCCGAAAUUGGGGUUCAAUUCUUUAAGAGAAUUUAUUGAAUCUUUGCAAUCAUUUAAAGUUGAAAACCAGGGACAUGACUUGAUAGUUUCUGUCUUAAGUAAUGAAAAGACUAUACAUCUGGAAGAAAUGAUAAAGAAACAAAAAAAUGCAAAAAAGGUUUGUAUAAAAUUACUAUUAUUAGGUACAGUUUAAAAAUAUAUACAUCUUUUAUAUAUUCAGCAAAGCAAGGAAUGUAUUGAUUUUACUGAAUUGUGUAGCUUAGUAAUUGGUGAGGCAAAUAUUUUUAAAAUUACAAGAGAAUAAGUGCUAAUAUACCUACAUGAAGUCAUGUAGAAACAAAUAUAUUAGUAAAAAAAAAAAGGUGAUACUGGGGAUGGGAGCAGCUACUGUUAUUAAUGAAAAGUUGGGAAGGUAGGAUACAUAGGUUAUUUCAUUUAUAUCUGUAAGUAAUGAUAAACCAUUGCUUGACGAAUGAGGAUUCCGAGAGCAGUUUGAAGUGCCUUAUUUAUUUAAUUUUUUUUUGCGAUUUUCGUUUAAAUUUGAUUUCAAAAAGCUUAUUAAAAAAAACAAAUCGUCUGAUCAUUUUUGAAAUUUUACCACGUCUAAAUAAGACCAAUAUAAGUAUUAUUACCAAGUUUCAAAUUUCUACAUAUAUUUAUAACCGAAUUACAGUAAAAAAUUUAAAAUUCUUUAAAAGCUCAAAAAUAGCCCUAAGUUUUGAUGGUGAUACCAUAAGAAAGUAAAUUAAAAAAGGUAUCUUGUGAUUUUUGAUAGAAUCAUUUUUUCUGGUUGAAAACCUCGUCUGUGUUUUUAUAAAAUAAUAAAAUCGUGAAAUUGUAUAUCUAUCAACGUUUUUCCCCAAUAUUACGUUGUAGUAGUCAUUCCCUAUAUCAUAUCUUUGAAUUUUAUUAUCAGCCGGACCAUCACUUUUAUUCCCCACAGAUUAUCUUAUAUAUUACAGAUAUAAAUAAUCAACUAGAUUGCUUACGGCUGUAUGAUUACUACUGUAUUACAUAUUAAACCACGGUUUAAGAUUACGUGACUAGUUCUACCUAUAUGCUUUUCAUUUUUCCUUGCUACUUACCUGACGUGGUUUUACACAACAAAUCGAGGAUUAUUUUCGAUUAAAAUUGUCCGUGUGAGCGCAGCAAAAUAUGGCGCUAUUUUAACUAGGAAAUAUGCGAAAAGGAAAACACGUACUUUAUGAAAUUUUCCGCCAUAAAAUCCAAACAAAGUACGUCAGGCUUUUUUUUAUAUUCUUAAUGUAUACGCAAAGGAAAAAUAAACCCCUAAAAAUCGCAUGAUAGCUACACUAGAAUCUUCCCUUCAAAUGUACCUAUAAUCUACACACAAAAUAUUACACUUCUUUUGUUUUUGUAUAGAGUUAUUUUUUCAGUACCCCAAGACUAAAAUAUGUAUUACUGGCAUGGACAGAGAGCUUCCUGUAUUUCAUUCAAACAUUUUGUUUAAUAUGUCAAUAAUCAAUAUAAUUUUCACUAUAUAAAAUGUAUAAUAUCAAACAAAAUUACUAUGUUCACAUUUAAGUGUAAUGACAGCGUUGUUAGCUAUUCAACAAAGUUAUUGACCUCAGUUGUAGAUUUUAAAUGUACCUACUUAUUUAUAACAAAAUUUAAGUACUGUAAACAUUAAUGAUGCUCUUUUGGCAAUUAUUAUUACAACAAUUAAUUUUUAACAUUGAAAAUAAGUUAGAUAAUCUAAUUUCGAAUUCACCAAAAACUAAAAAUAGUUAAAAUAUAUAUUUUAAAUAUUAAUUUUGAGCUAUUUUUCAAACGUGUUGUAAAUCAAUGACUUCUAAUGCUUUGUUAUUGUUGAUUCAUUAGGCUUUCAUCAUACAACUUUUAUUGUGAAUACAUUAUAUAUUAGAAUAAGUGUUCUGAAUUUUGUUCAACACCACAUUCAAAUUGUAUAAUUUAUAUUAUUUCAUCAUUUUCUUAAAAUUGUCCAUGAUAUAUCCAUUUUUGUACUGACUACUAAUUAUUUUCAACCUAUCGUUAUUUAUUUGUUUAGGUUAAUGCAUAUAAAUCAAAAAUAAUUUGGUCAAGCUAUGUAAACAAAUCAGAAAGUAAUCAAUUAAAAUUUUAAUUUUUUAAUCACACAUUGUUAAUGUUGAAUUAUUUAUUUUAGCUUUAAAUGGUUAUAAGAAAAAAGAUCAUACAUUGAAAACCCUCGGUCAAGAAUUAGGAGUAUUAUUUAGUGUAAGGAUAUUACUUAACUAAAUUCCAAUAGAAAAUAAUAAAAUGUUGACAAAUAAAUUGAAAUAUUUUUAAUAUUCUACUGUAUGUAUUAGGAAAUAUGAUUUACACAUUUCAAUUGUAAAAAUAUCUCUAAAAGUAAUCAAUAUUUCACUCUAAAAAAAAAGAAAAUGUAUUUACCUAACUAUUAAGAGUAAAUUACAAGAUUUUUUGCCAGUAAAAAUAAUGAUUAAAUAAAAGAUAUCCUAAAAUAAUGCAUAAUGUAAUUAAAAAAAAUUAUUAAUUAUAGUUUAAUGUAUAUUUAUAAUAAAAUUGAUGUUUUCAGGAAAAUAAAAGUAAAUCUUCAGCAAAUGUUUCAAGAAAUAAUAGUUGUCCAAAUACAUUGACAAGUAAUUAAUUCAAAUUUUAGUAAUAUUUUAUGUACAUGAUUGUAGUGUUUCGUGAUUUAACAAGCCAAACAAUUAAGAACUAUAUUUAAUUUCUAUAUUGUAAAAAUAUAUAGAGAAUUGUGUAAAGAACCACGAAAUUUAAAACAAAAUUUGUAUAAAAUUAAUGUAAUAAAGAAAACUUAGUGUUAGUUUCUUUCUAAAAGGUCACUACUAAUUGAUAGCUGCUUAAAAACCAAGGUUCAGUAAUCCCUAAAUAAUAAUAUGUAUUAUUGAAACUAAAGCUGUACAAUAAAAUAAAUUUUAUAAUAAUAUCAUUACUAGAUGAAUGCAUCUAGUAUGUAAUGGGCUGUGUAAAAGUGAUUCUUAAAAAUUAUAUACCAGUAUAUCUAUACAAUAGGUAUACUCGUAUACCUAUCAAAUAUUAUUUGUAUGUGUGUUCAAUUUGCUUCCUGGAAUAUUAAUUAUGAUAAAUCUUAUGAUUAUAAUUAUAGCCACCUUUUAACUAAACCUUUUUUCAAAAUCCACAUUGAUUUUGAAUAAUUUAGAUUAAUAUUAAAUUAAUUUAAUUUUAAACAAUUUUUCAGAUAUUAAUAUAACAAAUUUCAAAGAAUCAAAAAUGUUAGAGUCUAAUUCGGGAAAUAAAAUCAAAUGUAAAAACUGUUUAAUAUGUAAAAAAGUUACAANGGACUCAGAAAUUCAAAAUCAGUAUAAAUAUAUCAAAAAUUUUGAAUGUCUUAUUUGUUCUUUUAAAACAAAUGAUUUUAAUGAAUGGAAAUGUCAUAUUACAUCAAUAUCUCAUUUGGCAGAAUAUCACAUGAUUCAAGAUACGUACUCUCAUGUCUGUGAUUAUAAAAAAUGUAAAGUAUUGUUGUUCGGAUCCGAAAAGUCUUUAUGUGAACAUAAAGCUAAUCAUUCAAAAAAGUUUUUAAACACUAGUUUAUCAAUUAUUAUGGCUAAGGUUAUGAACCGUUAUAUUUCAAAAAAAAAACCUAUGUACUAUUGUACUCAUUGUAGACGUUUUGAAGAAAAACCAAUUCACACAACAGCUGAAUUAUUAAAUAUUAAGAAAAAAAACAACACCAUUGAAUAUUAUUGCAAAUAUUGUAGAGUAACAUUUGUUUGUAGCCCUGAAAUAUUAGAUUAUCAUUCAUUAAGUGUAGAACAUAUGACAAUAAAAUGUCUUGAUCAGUUAUUCUCUGAAGCUAAGGUGAAUUCAAAAUAAUUAACUAUCUGUAAAAUCUCUUCCAACUAUAGAAAAUAAAGUAAAAGUUGUGGUAGAAUGUUUUCCCUUGUUUAUUGAUAAAAGAGAAAAAUUUUUCAAAUUGUAUAUUAGUUUGAUAGAGGAUAUGUAUUAUGUUCAAAUAUGAGUGUAAGAAGUGUGUUUAGAGUUAGAGUAGGUAUCAGGCGUCGGCCUUGAUCUCUUGCCUAUACUUUUUUUUGCAAUGGAUGAAGUUACAAAAUAAUACAAGACAAGGUACCAUGGUUGCAGAUGAUAUAGUUUUGAUACAAGAAAACCUAUAAGACGUUAACAAGCUUGAUGAAUGGAGAAUAGUAUAUGAAGGAAAAGAACUAAUGAUAAGUAAAAGUAAAACCGAAUAUAUUAUAGAGUAUGAGUUUGGAGGAACAGGACAAGAUACCUAAUGGUGACAUAAUAGGAGAGGUUGAAAACUUUAAGUACCUAGGAUCUUUUGUUCAAAAAAACAAUGAGAAUUUGAAGUAUAGGAUUAGGUGUGAUUAGAUAAAAUGAAGAGAUUUUUGUACAGUUUACCUUUUAUCCAUCAAUAUUAGCUUGCACUUGAGUAGAAAAAAUAGGACAAAAGCUAUGCAUUCGGUGUGAUGUACAUAAAAAAAAAUUUUAAUUUAAAUGAGAGUUUAAAAGUAAUUUUAAUUAUUAAAAUAAUUUACAGGAACUACCUGUAAAUAUUGUUGGCCAGGAAGAAUCAAACAAAAAUCUGCAAAAUGGUAAUGCUGUAUACAGUAAACAAAAGUACACAGAGUAUUUUAAUCAUAAAUUGAAGUUACUGAAAUUAUUAAAAAUAAAUAAAGAUCCUAUUCUUAGAACAACCUCGUACUAUUGUAAUAUAUGCGAUUUUAUUACUGAAGAAAAAUAUACUUGGGACUUUCAUAAUGAAACAGUACAUGCAGAUAAUAUAAAUAUUUCUAUGGUUUUCUGUACUACAUGUUCUAUGUUUAUUUCGUUCAACAAUUUUGAAGAACACAAUAAUACAAUAGAACACAGUAAUCUCUUAAAAUUUUUACAGUCAUUCAACAGUUUAAGAAAAAAACCAAUUUUGCCUUUGAACAAUACCAAUAGUCAAAAUGAACAGAAAAAAAGAAAUAAAACUACAAAUGUAUUUAUUUAAUUAAUUGAAGUUAGUGUCAUGAUUUUGCUCACCUAAGUAUAUUUUUCUAAUAUUUCAGGUUUUAAUUAACAAUAGUGGUAUUUUCACAUCACCACCUAAUAAUUCACUUACUACAAUUUCAACUAUGUUGUCAGGUGAACCAAAUGUAGAUUUAAAAAUAGGAGAAUUGAAUACAAUGAUACAUGGCGAAACAUCAAAUUGUUGUGCCAAGUUAAAUGAUUCGGUAAUGUACAAUACAUAAGUUUUGAAUACAUUUAUACAGUUAUAUUAAAAUAAUAUAUAUAAUGUGCAUUAAUCAAUUAUAUUUAGGUACAAGUGUAUUCAUUUUAAAUGAGUAUUAACUACGAUAGAGUAGUUUCUAUUUGCAAUUUUUUUUUUUAAGUUUCUGAUGUUUCUAAAAUGUAAUAUAAUUAAUUUUUCUAGUUUUUCUUAAACCCAAAUGAACCUACAGCAGAAGAAAGUGAUAGAAAAUCUAUUUUCGUAUCAAGUCUAUGUCAGAAAAAUGUAGCAGACCUUAAGAGAGUGGAGGUACUUAAUGAAGACAAAAUGUAUGGGGAAUAUGUAACACAAAGACUUAAAUAUAUAGAAAAUCCGACAGUUAAACAACAUAUUAAAUUAGAGAUAGAUAACAUUUUUUUUUCUAGUAUGAAAAAUGAUUUAUUGAAAAGUUCUAAUUGCUAAGUUUAUUCAUCUUGACAGUAUACAAUAAUAUUGUCAUUUUUUUUUUAUUUUUAUCUUCAUUUCUGUUUUAAAUAGUUAACAUAAAAAUAAUGUUUUAAUGGAUGUAAAGUAAAUAUNC